rnacentral:rRNA from 1 species
AACGAACGCUGGCGGCAGGCUUAACACAUGCAAUUCGAACGCCCCGCAAGGGGAGUGGCAGACGGGUGAGUAACGCGUGUGAACAUACCCUUUUCUACGGUAUAUCUCUGGGAAACUGGAAUUAAUACCGUAUACGCCCUACGGGGGAAAGAUUUAUCGGGGUAGGAUUGGCCCGCGGUGAAUUAGCUAGUUGGGGGGGUAAAGGCCUACCAAGGCGACGCACCAUAGCUGGUCUGAGAGGAUGAUCAUCCACAUUGGGACUGAGACACGGCCCAAACUCGGACGGGAGGCGGCAGUAGGGCAUAUUGGACAAUGGGCGCAAGCCUGAUCCAGCCAUGCCGCGAGAGUGAUGAAGGUCUUAGGGUUGUAAAGCUCUUUCACCGAUGAAGAUAAUGACGGUAGUCGGAGAAGAAGCCCCGGCUAACUUCGUGCCAGCCGCCGCAGUAA